UACGGGGGGGGCAAGCGUUGUUCGGAAUUACUGGGCGUAAAGGGCUCGUAGGCGGCCUUCUAAGUCGAACGUGAAAUCCCCGGGCUCAACCCGGGAACUGCGUCCGAUACUGGAAGGCUUGAAUCCGGGAGAGGGAUGCGGAAUUCCAGGUGUAGCGGUGAAAUGCGUAGAUAUCUGGAGGAACACCGGUGGCGAAGGCGGCAUCCUGGACCGGUAUUGACGCUGAGGCGCGAAAGCCAGGGGAGCAAACGGG
rnacentral:rRNA from 1 species